rnacentral:rRNA from 1 species
UGGGGAAUAUUGGACAAUGGGCGCAAGCCUGAUCCAGCCAUGCCGCUUGAGUGAUGAAGGCCUUAGGGUUGUAAAGCUCUUUUAGCGGGGAAGAUAAUGACGGUACCCGCAGAAAAAGCCCCGGCUAACUUCGUGCCAGCAGCCGCGGUAAUACGAAGGGGGCUAGCGUUGCUCGGAAUUACUGGGCGUAAAGCGCACGUAGGCGGACUCUUAAGUCGGUGGUGAAAUCCUGGAGCUCAACUCCAGAACUGCCUUCGAUACUGGGAGUCUUGAGUUCGGGAGAGGUGAGUGGAACUGCGAGUGUAGAGGUGAAAUUCGUAGAUAUUCGCAAGAACACCAGUGGCGAAGGCGGCUCACUGGCCCGAUACUGACGCUGAGGUGCGAAAGCGUGGGGAGCAAACA